UGCGUGGCGGCGGCGGCGGCGGCCUGGCCGAUGGUGGACCACCCUCGGCUUCGUCCUCGUCGUCGUCGACGAUGC